CUGUAGGUAACUGAUGAACAAUAAUUGUUAUUCGCCGUAGUUUACGUUGAGUGUUUAUAUUUCAAACGAUAAUUUCUUUGGCAUAGAAGAUGCAUAAUUUGUGUAAUAUAGAAUAAUAUUUCAGUUAUGAAACUGUAUCCGAUUAUGAAUUUGGAACAAGUAAAAUAAUACUAGUCGACGCGACGCUUCAAAAACAAUUGUAUUAUAUCUACAGUAAAUGUAACAGUGAACACUGAUGCCCGUAUUCGCCAAUUAUGGAACUACAAGAUGAAAUCAUGCUGGAAGACAAUAAUGGCAUCUUACAAAUCACUGAUUUUGGAUAUCCACAAAAAAUUUUCAGGAGGCCCAACUAUUUCGAGGAAAUGGAUGAUAUGGCCUUUCAUAGAACAUUCGGACUGACCAAGUUGAUAACACUAUAUUUACUGGAGCUCAUAGAAGAUGCUUUAGAAUUUGAAAAAUAUUUGUGAAAAAACAUUCAAUUGUUUUAACUUUUUUUUUAUACAAUUACAUAAGAUAUAAAUGACCACAUGUAAAAUAGCAAAUUUAUAAGUG